rnacentral:rRNA from 1 species
AACGCGAAGAACCUUACCAAGGUUUGACAUGCAGGGAAAAGCCGUAGAGAUACGGUGUCCGUAAGGGUCCUGCACAGGUGGUGCAUGGCUGUCGUCAGCUCGUGUCGUGAGAUGUUGGGUUAAGUCCCGCAACGAGCGCAACCCUCGUCCUAUGUUGCCAGCGGGUAAUGCCGGGGACUCAUAGGAGACUGCCGGGGUCAACUCGGAGGAAGGUGGGGAUGACGUCAAGUCCUCAUGCCCCUUAUGUCUUGGGCUGCAAACAUGCUACAAUGGCCGGUACAAAGGGUUGCGAGACCGCAAGGUGGAGCGAAUCCCAAAAAGCCGGUCUCAGUUCGGAUUGGGGUCUGCAACUCGACCCCAUGAAGUCGGAGUCGCUAGUAAUCGCGAAUCAGCAACGUCGCGGUGAAUACGUUCCCGGGCCUUGUACACACCGAUAGC